rnacentral:rRNA from 1 species
UGGUAGUCCACGCUGUAAACGAUGUCGAUUUGAAGGUUGUUCCCUUGAGGAGUGGCUUUCGGAGCUAACGCGUUAAAUCGACCGCCUGGGGAGUACGGCCGCAAGGUUAAAACUCAAAUGAAUUGACGGGGGCCCGCACAAGCGGUGGAGCAUGUGGUUUAAUUCGAUGCAACGCGAAGAACCUUACCUACUCUUGACAUCCAGAGAACUUAGCAGAGAUGCUUUGGUGCCUUCGGGAACUCUGAGACAGGUGCUGCAUGGCUGUCGUCAGCUCGUGUUGUGAAAUGUUGGGUUAAGUCCCGCAACGAGCGCAACCCUUAUCCUUUGUUGCCAGCGAUUCGGUCGGGAACUCAAAGGAGACUGCCGGUGAUAAACCGGAGGAAGGUGGGGAUGACGUCAAGUCAUCAUGGCCCUUACGAGUAGGGCUACACACGUGCUACAAUGGCGUAUACAAAGAGAAGCGACCUCGCGAGAGCAAGCGGAACUCAUAAAGUACGUCGUAGUCCGGAUUGGAGUCUGCAACUCGACUCCAUGAAGUCGGAAUCGCUAGUAAUCGUAGAUCAGAAUGCUACGGUGAAUACGUUCCCGGGCCUUGUACACACCGCCCGUCUCACCAUGGGAGUGGGUUGCAAAAGAAGUAGGUAGCUUAACCUUCGGGAGGGCGCUUACCACUUUGUGAUUCAUGACUGGGGUGAAGUCGUA